UCCACCAACGGUUUUAGCCGAACGCCUUUUUUCUAAUUCCAAUUCCAAUUCCAAUUCCUUUGGAAUCUGUCGUCCCAAAUCAAUUUUUUCUCUCCUUUUCGUUGCUUCUCCUCUCCCUGUUUCUUCCCGAUCGUCCUCCACCUUCAAACAAGGUUGAUGUGCAAAAGCCCCAUGACGUGAUAUCUCUUGCUCGUGAUGCUGCUACUUUUCAUGGACUGAACAAGUUGAAUUGGCUGCCUUGGCCAGCCAAUCCGACUGCCAACCCUUCUACAUGGGCUGAACUUAUUUAGCUGAAUGAUGCAUCAUCCCCUGCAUCGCCUUGGAACUUUCUCGUGCGGAUUCAAUGGAGAAAAGCGAGCUUACAGAUUCUCUCAACCAGGACUCCAUUCUUUCCCGCUCUCCUCGGUUCAUCACAUCACAACACGACCCGAAAAGUGCAGGAAAGUUAACGACAUCUGAGACGACCGAAACAAACGACAUGGAAAUUCCAUCUUCCAAUGAGCUCGAGGAUCAUUCAACAUUGAGAAACACUAACAAUGAUACAAAUCAUAGCAGUGAUAGUGAGUCUUCCGAAAGUGAUGAAGAAAACAAAGUUACUUCUGGGAACAAGAAUGAUAAUUCAGAUCGUAAUAGUGACAGUGAUUCUUCUGAGAGUGAUAAGGAACAUGAUAUUGAUUUUGCCUCAAGACACCCUGCGGAGAAGGAAGCUGAUAUAGUUUCUAAUGAUUUGAAGCAAUCUCCAUUGAUUAGUACUAAGGAGGUGGUCUAUGAAUCUGCUAUGAAGAACACGAAUGGCGGUAUAGAUCAUAAUGGUGUUAGCAAGUCGUUCGAGAGUGAUAAGGAACAAGAAGUCAUCAAGAUCAACACAAAAAUUGAAGAGUGUCCUAAAAUAGAUGAGGUGGUUUAUGUAUCUGGUAAUAGGAACACGGUUAUCGAUAGUGUAAGUGAGUCCUCCUUCGAGAGCGAUAAGGAACGAGACUCCGAUUUUGCUAUAGGAAAGUUUUUGGAGAAGGAAGUUGAUAUAGUUAAUGAUGAUUUGAAGCAGUCUCCAUUGAUGAACACAGUAGUUGAAGAGUGUUCCAAAACUGAUAUCACUGCCUAUGAAUCUGCUAUUGAGAACAUUAACGAUGAUAUCGACAAUGUUAACGAGUCCUCCGAGAGUAAUAAGGAACAUGACAUCGCUAUUGGGCAAUCUUUGAAGAAGGAAACAGAUCUAGUUGAAAAUGAUUUGUCUCCAUUGAUUAGCACCAUAGUGGAUCCCUAUGAAUCUGAUAUUAAGAACAUUAAUGAUGAUAUCGACGUUGUUAGCGAGUCGACCGAGAGUGAUCUAGUUACCAAUGAUCUGAAGCAAUCUCUAUUGAUUAGCACAACAAUUGAGAAGUGUCCCAUAGAUGAGGUUGUCUAUGAAUAUGCUGUUAUGAACACUAAUAACGAUAUGGAUCAUAGAAGCAUUAGCAGGUCUCCUGUGAGCGAUAAGGAACACAUCUUCAACUUUGCUGAACCUGAUAUUGAACUUGUUAAUCAAUCAUCCUCGAACGGUGAAGGCCACAAUUAUAGCAUUUCAUAUGACGAUUUACAAGAAGAGUUUGCGUCGGGAUUCGACGUAAUACCGGAGUUUCAUCGAUCAGUCUCAAUGGAAUCAGUUGAAUCAGUUGAUGGAAGCAAUGUAAGCGAGAUCGAAGGCGAAAGUAUUGUGGAUAGAUUAAAACGACAAGUCGAAUACGAUAAGAAAUGCAUUAAUGCAUUGUAUAACGAGUUGGAAGAAGAACGAAGCGCUUCCGAGAUUGCGGUAAGUCAAGCCAUGGCUAUGAUUACAAGGUUGCAAGCGGAGAAGGCAACAAUGAACAUGGAUGCUUUUCAUUACUUGAGAAUGAUGGAAGAACAAGCAGAAUAUGAUGUAGAAGCUAUAGAGAAAGCAAACGAACUCUUGAACGAAAAGGAUCGAGACAUCCAAGAGUUAGAAGCCGAGCUCGAAUACUAUAGGUCGAUUUACACGGUCGACACAAUAGUCGAGGAUGAACAUGAAAAUAGCGACGAUUCAAAUGAAGAACACCAUGAAUAUGAUGGGAAUCAUUCCUUUAAAUCAAGAAUUUUAAAGGCAUCAAAAGAAAGCUACAGAUCUUUGAAUAAUUCAAAUUUAUGUUUAGAAUUUGAAGAUGAAAAACACUACAUUCAGCUAUGUUUGAAGAGCUUAGAGGAUAAGAUCAGCAGAAUAUUCACUAAUGGACAACAAGAAGGGGAAGAGAGCAUUGAAGAGAAUGGCUCAUCCAUGCACAUAGAACAAAGCAACUGUAAUGGAACAGCUACACCAGAAGGAGAGGUGGUUGAUGUUGAGAAAAAUGGUCAUUUUGGCUGUGAAGAAAGCUUUUAUGAGGUGAAAGAUCCGAUAAGUUGUGCAAAUAAACUAGAGGAGGUUGACUUCCUUGCUCUUGAACAUAAGAUUUCAGAGCUUACUGGCAGGUUGGAAGCACUACAAGCUGAUCAUGAUUUUCUUGAACACUCUCUUAAUUCUCUUCGAUACGGCGAGGAGGGGCUGCAAUUUGCUCGGAAUAUCGUUAAUCAGCUACAAGAAUUGUGUAAAAUCGGCAUUCGGCUCGAUCGUCGGCCUCGCUCCAAAGUUCAUGCAGCAUGAUAUGGUAAGCGUUACUAACAAAGCAUGGUAUGAGCUCUAAAUUUCUCAUAUGAACAUGAAUGUCGGUAGAUAUAAUCAGUGAUUCUCGUGCUCAAUCUAGAAUUUGAAUCUAUAGCCACUAGACGUUGCCUAGCAGAAUUGGAGAAAUCAAGUAACGGAUAUAACUUGUUGAUUUCAAGGUGUGAGAUCCCAUAUCUAUUGGAGAGGAGAACGAAGGAUUCCUUAUAAAGGUAUGGAAACCUCUCCCUAGCAGACGUGUUUGAAAACCGUGUGGCUGACGGCGAUAUAUAAUGGGCCAAAAUGGAUAAUAUUUGUUAGCUGUGGGCUUGGGAUGUUACGAAUGAUAUCAUAGACAGAUACUGGGUGGUGUGCCAACGAGGACGUUGGUCCCCAAAAGGGGGUGGAUUGUGAGAUCCCGCAUCGGUUGGAGAGGAGAAUGAAACAUUCCUUAUAAGGGUGUGGAAACCUCUCCCUAGCAGAUGU